rnacentral:lncRNA from 1 species
UGUGGAAACUUUGUUCUUUCGCUGUAUGUAAUAACUCUUGCUACUGUAGCUCGCUUUUUGGGUCUACGCUGCUUCUAUAAGCUGUAACAUUCACAGGGAAGAUCUGCAGCUUCACUCCUGAGACCACGAGCCCACUGGAAAGAACAAACAACUCCCGAAGUGCUACCUUAUAGAGCUAUAACACUCACCGCGAAGGUCUGCAGCUUCACUCCUGAGCCAGGGAGACCACAAACCCACCAGAAGGAAAAAACUCCGAAUACAUCUGAACAUCAGGAGGGACAGACUCCAGACGGGCCACCUGAAAAGCUGUAACACUCACCGUGAGGGUCCGGGGCUUCAUUCUUGAAGUUAGUGAGACCAAGAACCCACCAAUUCGGGACACACUUGGACCAUCCGCUUCCCAGGAAGCGUCAGCCCUGGGGUGCCCAUGCCCAGAAGCCCACUCCAGCCCUGAUAGUCGCCUCCCAGCUGAGCCAGGAACCUGGGGCUGAGCUCCAUCCUCAACCUUAAAAACUUGUCAUCUCACCUGUCCCGAGGAUGUGCGGUACCUGCCCUACUUCUACCAUCCUCACCCUACUCUUUUCCUGGGCUAGCGUUAUGAUGUCUAAACCUAUCUAUCAUCCCGUUCUGUGCUCUGUAUAUUCAUUUUCCACAUAACGUAAAAUGUAGGUCUGGCUAAGCCCCCUCCACAUGGACAACGUGGGCCCUACUCUCCACAGACUCCAGCCACCUGCGACCCCUUCUGCCUCAUGCUACGUGUGAUCACAGCCUUUUCUCCUGUUGCUAUCCUGACCGAGAUGCUCCUCUAACAAGCUUGUCCACCCUUUCACACCCCUCAGCACACGCCCUGGCUUCAUAUGGCCGCCUGGUACCCUCCCUGCCGUUUCUGCCCAGAUCUGUUCUGUGCCCAGCAGGUGUUAUUGGCUUCAUCUACUUGCAGGUCUGUCCUUACUAACUGGAACACCCCCGAGGGCAGGAACGGUUUACCCCAGCAUGGAGCACAGUUCCGGGGCCCUAGGAGGAGCUCAGAGGACCUGUGGGAAAUGUUCCCAUGGGCAAUGACUCCCUGAAUGUAACGUCGUAUGUCACCUUGGAGGGAAAGACCCCAUAAAAACCUAAUCAUAUUCAAGGGAAAGGAGCUUGGCUUUCCUGGGUACAGCCUAAUGGUGUUGGUGACUGGGGUAGGAAGGGGACUCAGGUAAGUAAUGUACCCACUUGCAGCUUUCCCCCAGCCAGUCACGUCCAGCCAGGCACAGCCACUCAUGGGGCCCAGUCGUGUCCUAUGCCAGGCAGAGGGUGGCAGGAGAAGGGAAGGGGCUCUGGCAGGAAGGACGGGGGAGCCCAUGGGUGGUGAAAGCUGAUGACAAGCUGCCCACGUGGGAUGCCUUCCAUAGGAGCAGGCCCUCGCCUAUGGGGGUUUCCAGAGGGAGACCCAGUUCCUGCUCACAGGCCAGCUGCAGCCCAAGCAACGUGCUUCUAUUGUAUCAUGUUCUCGUCGAUUCCUCCUUAUCCUGACUGUGAGCCCGAGAGGGCAGGGACCAAGGUCCUAAUGUAUCCCAGCGGAGCGUACACAUAAUGGAGUCCGAGAGGGAGCAUGCACCAGUCUACUACCUAGACCCCUUGGCAGAACUUUUCCUAG